AGAGUUUGAUCAUGGCUCAGAUUGAACGCUGGCGGCAUGCCUUACACAUGCAAGUCGAACGGCAGCAUGAUCUAGCUUGCUAGAUUGAUGGCGAGUGGCGAACGGGUGAGUAAUACAUCGGAACGUGCCCUGUAGUGGGGGAUAACUAGUCGAAAGAUUAGCUAAUACCGCAUACGACCUGAGGGUGAAAGUGGGGGACCGCAAGGCCUCAUGCUAUAGGAGCGGCCGAUGUCUGAUUAGCUAGUUGGUGAGGUAAAGGCUCACCAAGGCGACGAUCAGUAGCUGGUCUGAGAGGACGAUCAGCCACACUGGGACUGAGACACGGCCCAGACUCCUACGGGAGGCAGCAGUGGGGAAUUUUGGACAAUGGGCGAAAGCCUGAUCCAGCAAUGCCGCGUGUGUGAAGAAGGCCUUCGGGUUGUAAAGCACUUUUGUCCGGAAAGAAAUGGCUCUGGUUAAUACCUGGGGUCGAUGACGGUACCGGAAGAAUAAGGACCGGCUAACUACGUGCCAGCAGCCGCGGUAAUACGUAGGGUCCAAGCGUUAAUCGGAAUUACUGGGCGUAAAGCGUGCGCAGGCGGUUGUGCAAGACCGAUGUGAAAUCCCCGAGCUUAACUUGGGAAUUGCAUUGGUGACUGCACGGCUAGAGUGUGUCAGAGGGGGGUAGAAUUCCACGUGUAGCAGUGAAAUGCGUAGAGAUGUGGAGGAAUACCGAUGGCGAAGGCAGCCCCCUGGGAUAACACUGACGCUCAUGCACGAAAGCGUGGGGAGCAAACAGGAUUAGAUACCCUGUAGUCCACGCCCUAAACGAUGUCAACUAGUUGUUGGGGAUUCAUUUCCUUAGUAACGUAGCUAACGCGUGAAGUUGACCGCCUGGGGAGUACGGUCGCAAGAUUAAAACUCAAGGAAUUGACGG
rnacentral:rRNA from 1 species